rnacentral:tRNA from 1 species
CGCGGGUGUGGCGGAAUUGGCAGACGCGCUAGACUUAGGAUCUAGUGUCUUUAUGACGUGGGGGUUCAAGUCCCUUCACCCGC